rnacentral:rRNA from 1 species
AACAAACGCUGGCGGCGUGCCUAAUACAUGCAAGUCGAACGGGGAAAGCUUUCGGGUGGGUACUAGUGGCGCACGGGUGAGUAACGCGUGGAUAAUCUGCCUUAGAGUGGGGGAUAACUAGUCGAAAGAUUAGCUAAUACCGCAUAAGACCACAAGAACUGCGGUUCAAGGGGUCAAAGGUUUUUCGCUCUAAGAUGAGUCCGCGUAAGAUUAGCUAGUUGGUAGGGUAACGGCCUACCAAGGCGACGAUCGUUAACUGGUCUGAGAGGAUGAUCAGUCACACUGGAACUGAGACACGGUCCAGACUCCUACGGGAGGCAGCAGUAGGGAAUAUUGCACAAUGGAGGAAACUCUGAUGCAGCGACGCCGCGUGAGUGAUGAAGGCCUUCGGGUCGUAAAGCUCUGUCGCAGGGGAAUAACACAAUGAAGGUACCCUGUAAGAAAGGAUCGGCUAACUUCGUGCCAGCAGCCGCCGUAAAAC